rnacentral:rRNA from 1 species
CGUUAAGCACUCCGCCUGGGGACUACGGUCGCAAGACUAAAACUCAAAGGAAUUGACGGGGACCCGCACAAGCGGUGGAGCAUGUGGUUUAAUUCGAUGCAACGCGAAAAACCUUACCACUCCUUGACAUGAAGAUUAGAUCCUCCUUAACAGGAGGGCGCAGUUUCGGCUGGGUCUUGCACAGGUGCUGCAUGGCUGUCGUCAGCUCGUGUCGUGAGAUGUUGGGUUAAGUCCCGCAACGAGCGUAACCCUCACCCUUAGUUGCCAGCGGGUAAUGCCGGGGACUUUAAGGGAACUGCCAGUGGUAAGCUGGAGGAAGGUGGGGAUGAUGUCAAGUCAGCAUGGCCCUUAUGGGGUGGGCUACACACGUGCUACAAUGGUGACUACAA